AAGCAUUGUGUGCUUGCAUGUAUACUAAAAUUGGAACAGUGCAGAGAAUACUAGCAUGGCCCUUGCACAAAUAUGACACACACAUGAAGCAUUUCAUAUGGUG